CUUGAGAGCGGCGGACGGGUGAGUAAAGCCUAGGAAUCUGCCUGGUAGUGGGGGAUAACGUUCGGAAACGGACGCUAAUACCGCAUACGUCCUACGGGAGAAAGCAGGGGACCUUCGGGCCUUGCGCUAUCAGAUGAGCCUAGGUCGGAUUAGCUAGUUGGUGAGGUAAUGGCUCACCAAGGCGACGAUCCGUAACUGGUCUGAGAGGAUGAUCAGUCACACUGGAACUGAGACACGGUCCAGACUCCUACGGGAGGCAGCAGUGGGGAAUAUUGGACAAUGGGCGAAAGCCUGAUCCAGCCAUGCCGCGUGUGUGAAGAAGGUCUUCGGAUUGUAAAGCACUUUAAGUUGGGAGGAAGGGCAGUUACCUAAUACGUGAUUGUUUUGACGUUACCGACAGAAUAAGCACCGGCUAACUCUGUGCCA
rnacentral:rRNA from 1 species